rnacentral:rRNA from 1 species
UGGGGAAUAUUGCACAAUGGGGGAAACCCUGAUGCAGCGACGCCGCGUGUGCGAAGAAGGUUUUCGAAUCGUAAAGCUCUGUCCUAUGAGAAGAUAAUGACGGUAUCAUAGGAGGAAGCCCCGGCUAAAUACGUGCCAGCAGCCGCGGUAAUACGUAUGGGGCGAGCGUUGUCCGGAAUUAUUGGGCGUAAAGGGUACGUAGGCGGUCUAUUAAGUCAGGUGUGAAAGCGUGAGGCUUAACCUCAUUAAGCACUUGAAACUGAUAGACUUGAGUGAAGGAGAGGAAAGUGGAAUUCCUAGUGUAGCGGUGAAAUGCGUAGAUAUUAGGAGGAAUACCGGUGGCGAAGGCGACUUUCUGGACUUUUACUGACGCUCAGGUACGAAAGCGUGGGGAGCAAACAGG